GAAAAUUCAACCCUGCAGGGAGGAUGAGCGCAGCAGUGCUGGAAACAUUGGAAAAUAUAAUAAAUAUGUAGCCAAGAAGAUUACAUCAUGUCACAUACUAUUUCAUACACUGAGAAACUAAAGUAGAAGAAACUGAACAGCUGAAGAUAUGCAAACAUUUGAAGGAGUUUCUGGAAACCUUAACACAGCUUAAAGGAAACAAUAAGAUACACAAAGAUUCUUCUAUAAGAUAAAGAGCUUUGUUACGUUCACAAAUAAUGCAAGUCUCAUUGCUUACUCUGUGAAUCUCAUCACCUAAGGCACCAAUGUUAUUGCUGCUUAUAGAGAUGUUUUAUUAUAUCUGGCUCGUGGAAAUGAGAUCUCCUGCCAAUAUAACAGCUCUUCCAAGACGUUUGUACAUGUCAGCAGGCUAAGCAGACAAUUCCUGAGCACUCGGAAAAUUGGUUGUUUAUUUCUGUUCACCGUCAUACAUCCAUUCUCAGUCUGUAUACCAUCACAAUCUUCCGGGUGCUGUAUUGCCUGACUGUCAUCUCUUUCACCUAUUUGCGCUGUCAUCCAUAUGCCAUCAUCAUUCAGCUCCUGUCAUCUAUUGGAGACACCAGAACUACUCUACAAGGCAUAACUGCUUCCAUCAGAAGUAUAGCAGCUCGAGCCUAAUGCAAUUCCUGCCUGAUUUGGCCUUGUCCUGGUUUUACAUUACGAUGAGAGGAUGCCGAGUGGAUAUACACACCACAUUUUAUAGUAACCGCUAUAUUGUGUUGUGAUGACAACAGAUAGGAUUUUGUCACAUAAAUCAGUGUUCCCCAACUCCAGCCCUCGAGGCCCACCUUCCGGUCAUGUUUUCAGGAUUUCCUUAGUAUUGAGCAGG